rnacentral:rRNA from 1 species
AACGAACGCUGGCGGCAUGCCUAACACAUGCAAGUCGAACGAGACCUUCGGGUCUAGUGGCGCACGGGUGCGUAACGCGUGGGAACCUGCCCUUAGGUUCGGAAUAACUCCCCCGAAAGGGGUGCUAUACCGGAUAAUGUCUUCGGACCAAAGAUUUAUCGCCUUUGGAUGGGCCCGCGUUGGAUUAGCUAGUUGGUAGGGUAAAAGCCUACCAAGGCGACGAUCCAUAGCUGGUCUGAGAGGAUGAUCAGCCACACUGGGACUGAGACACGGCCCAGACUCCUACGGGAGGCAGCAGUGGGGAAUAUUGGACAAUGGGCGAAAGCCUGAUCCAGCAAUGCCGCGUGAGUGAUGAAGGCCUUAGGGUUGUAAAGCUCUUUUACCCGGGAUGAUAAUGACAGUACCGGGAGAAUAAGCUCCGGCUAACUCCGUG